rnacentral:rRNA from 1 species
UUUAUUGGAGAGUUUGAUCCUGGCUCAGGAUGAACGCUGGCGGCGUGCCUAAUACAUGCAAGUCGAGCGAAUGGAUUAAGAGCUUGCUCUUAUGAAGUUAGCGGCGGACGGGUGAGUAACACGUGGGUAACCUGCCCAUAAGACUGGGAUAACUCCGGGAAACCGGGGCUAAUACCGGAUAACAUUUUGAACCGCAUGGUUCGAAAUUGAAAGGCGGCUUCGGCUGUCACUUAUGGAUGGACCCGCGUCGCAUUAGC